rnacentral:rRNA from 1 species
UACGUAGGGUGCGAGCGUUAAUCGGAAUUACUGGGCGUAAAGCGUGCGCAGGCGGUUCGUUAUGUCCGAUGUGAAAGCCCCGAGCUCAACUUGGGAAUGGCAUUGGAAACUGGCGGGCUGGAGUGUGGCAGAGGGGGGUGGAAUUCCACGUGUAGCAGUGAAAUGCGUAGAGAUGUGGAGGAACACCGAUGGCGAAGGCAGCCCCCUGGGUUAACACUGACGCUCAGGCACGAAAGCGUGGGGAGCAAACAGG